UGAACCUGCGGAAGGAUAUUGCCGUGACCCUGACGAAAAUAGACCGUGAACGUGUCAUCCGUGCUGCCGAGUGAUGGGGCACGCACCCGUCUGACGGUUGUGGAGGGGAGUGGCCCCAAAAGAACCCACGACGCUGUAUGGUGUCAAGGACCACCGACAUAUUGCCUUGCUCGGGGCCAUGACCGGCCUGCCGGAUGGGGCCCGUGCAGCGAUGCUGUGUUAAUCCACGACUCUCGGCAACGGAUAUCUCGGCUCUCGCAUCGAUGAAGGACGUAGCAAAAUGCGAUACCUGGUGUGAAUUGCAGAAUCCCGUGAACCAUCGAGUUUUUGAACGCAAGUUGCGCCCGAGGCCUUUUGGCUGAGGGCACGUCUGACUGGGCGUCAUGCCAAAAGACACUCCUCACCCAUCCCGGUGCGGACGUGGUGUUUGGCCCCUCGUGCUGUCGGGUGUGGUGAGCCAAAGUUGGGGCCUGCCGGUGGUGCUGAUCACGGCACAAGGUGGACGACGCAUGUUGUUCUCGGUGCCACGAUCUAAACCGAUUCCGGUGAUGCUAAUGGCCCUUUGGAUCCAUGGAUUGCGCGCGUGUUGCAUGACCCCAGAUCAGUCGGGAUUACCCGCUGAAUUUAAGCAUACAANACAAAAG
rnacentral:rRNA from 1 species